rnacentral:rRNA from 1 species
UACGGAGGGUGCUAACGUUGCUCGGAAUCAUUGGGCGUAAAGCGCACGUAGGCGGCCGUGCAAGCUGGAUGUGAAAGCCCAGGGCUCAACCCUGGAAGUGCAUCCAGAACUGCAUGGCUUGAGUACCAGAGGGGGUCGGAGAAUUCCCGGUGUAGAGGUGAAAUUCGUAGAUAUCGGGAGGAAUACCAGAGGCGAAGGCGCCGACCUGGAUGGAUACUGACGCUGAGGUGCGAAAGCGUGGGGAGCGAAC